UACGUAGGGGGCUAGCGUUUCCGGAUUUAUUGGGCGUAAAGAGCGUGUAGGCGGCCAGAUAGGUCUGCUGUGAAAACUCGAGGCUCAACCUCGAGAUGUCGGCGGAAACCAUUUGGCUAGAGUCCGGAAGAGGAAAGUGGAAUUCCUGGUGCAGCGGUGAAAUGCGCAGAUAUCAGGAAGAACACCCGUGGCGAAGGCGGCUUUCUGGGACGGUACUGACGCUGAGACGCGAAAGCGUGGGGAGCGAACAGG
rnacentral:rRNA from 1 species